rnacentral:rRNA from 1 species
ACGCUCGACACCUACGGGAGCAGCAGUAGGGAAUCUUCCACAAUGGGCGCAAGCCUGAUGGAGCAACACCGCGUGAGUGAAGAAGGGUUUCGGCUCGUAAAGCUCUGUUGUUGGAGAAGAACGUGCGUGAGAGUAACUGUUCACGCAGUGACGGUAUCCAACCAGAAAGUCACGGCUAACUACGUGCCUGCAGCCGCGGUAAUCUGAGCGGGCUGGCAAGGC